GGGAUUCACUCUCGAGAUUGCGAUGACUGACACAGUGAUCACUAAUACUCAAACUCACUAAUUUCAGAAGCUGCCUCUGAGAUUUGAUUCUGGAACCGGGCCCAGUCCAAAGGCAGGAUUUUGCUGCAUUAAAUAUCGCCCCACAAGACCAACCAGGCCUUCGGCGCCACCCAGCUGUCUUUGGACAAAGCGGAGAAUGGGUGGCUGGAGGAGUUUUAUCCAUGAGGUCUCCCUUGUUGAGCAGGAAGGAGGCCCACUACUUCUUUUUUACUUCUAUUCCCAGCUCCUGUAAAAAUUUAAUCUGGAAUGGGCACCUUCACUGAUUUAGGACAUUUCUGUGCAUGUUUCUGCUGUGUACGUUUCCGAUGUGUGUGUUUGUUUUGUGUUUGUAACUCUUUGCCUAUGCUUUUCCCACUCCGAACAGGUGAAGAACACCUACAGACCGAUACAAAGUGGCACAAUUCACAUGCCAUGACACCUCCACAGCUGGCAGGUUCUGUGUUGAACCUCAACACAAAGCAAUAAUAAUAAUAAUAAUAAUAAUAAUAAUAAUUCCUUACAUUUAUAUAGCACUUUUCUGGGCACUCGAAGCACUUUACAUAUUGAAGGGGGAAUCUCCUCAACCACCACCAAUGUGCAGCACCACCUGGAUGAUGUGACAGCAGCCAUAUUGCGCCAGAACGCCCACCACACACACUAUACUGGGGUGUUAGGACCCACACAGACCACAGGGUGAGCGCCCUCUGCUGGCCUCACUAACGCCUCUUCCAGCAGCUACCUAGUUUUCCCAGGAGGUCUCCCAUCCAGGAGGGACCAAGAGGAGGCUCUUCAGUGCGAAUGGGAAGACACCAGCCAGGGUAAAACUCAUGCCAGUGGUGCAGCUCUCCCGCUGAAAUCACCCCAAAAAUAUCAGCUGUACCAAAAGAUGAUGUACAGGAGACACAGAGGUGAACGUAGAUGGGAGUUUAUUUACAAACAGCAGGGAAACAGUGAUGCAGGAAUGGAGAUUGUGGAUGGAUGGACGAACGUCAACGGAGUGCACACAUGUAGGAGGUAGGUAGACACACACAGACGAAGAAGCACGGAGACUGAGGAAACAUGCUGGAGUGAAACAGGGAAGUAGAUCGGCAGGCUUGGAGAUAAACAUGAAGAAGUCCUUUACGUAGGAACACAUAAACGAGACCGGACAACUGAGUGAGGUGAGUGACGUGCUUAAAUAGUCUGGUGAUGGUGUGCUGAUGAGAAGCAGGUGUGUGUGAUUGUCAGAUCAGGAGCGGUGAUGAGGAAGUGUGUGCAGGUGUGGG